GGAAGACGAGGUGGCAAUGGUCGCCACACCGGUCCCGAAAAUCGGGUGCCCGCAAGGGCCGGGUUCGAAUCCUACGUCUUCCG
rnacentral:tRNA from 1 species